rnacentral:tRNA from 1 species
GGGGUAUUAGCUCAGCUGGGAGAGCGUCGCGUUCGCAACGCGAAGGUCGGGGGUUCGAGCCCCCUAUGCUCCACCA